rnacentral:rRNA from 1 species
UACGGAGGGUGCAAGCGUUAUUCGGAAUUACUGGGCGUAAAGGGCGUGCAGGCGGGAAGGCAAGUCUGGUGUGAAAGCCCGGGGCUCAACCCCGGAAGUGCAUUGGAAACUGCUUUUCUUGAGUGCCGGAGAGGAAGGGGGAAUUCCCGGUGUAGAGGUGAAAUUCGUAGAGAUCGGGAGGAAUAUCAGUGGCGAAGGCGCCCUUCUGGACGGUUACUGACGCUGAGACGCGAAAGCGUGGGGAGCAAAC